UGCAUUGUACUCUUGAGAGUGACUAGGGGCUUCCUUAAAGAUGGAAAAUGCUGAGAUCUGCCCCAAGGAUCUGAGGACUUAAUAAAAGAGGGAGAAAUGGUUUGAGGAGAUUACUGUCAAAAAGACUGAGUCAAACAGACAAAUUUAGAACAUGCAUACACUAUGAUGAUAAAUAGAUUCUAAAGGGAAAGCGUGGCCGGGCACUGUGGCUCAUGCCUGUAAUCCCGCACUUUGGGAGGCCGAGGCAGGUGGAUCACCUGAGGUCAGGAGUUUGAGACCAGCUUGGCCAACGUGGUGAAACCCCGCCUCUACUAAAUAUACAAAAAGUAGCUGGGCGUGGUGGUGGGCACCUGUAAUCUCAGCUACUCAGGAAGCUGAGCAGGAGGUUGCUUGAACUGGGGAGGUGGAGGUUGCGAUGAGUCAAUAUCCUGCCACUGCACUCCAGCCUGGGCAACAGAGUGAGACUCCAUCUCAAAAAAAAAAAAAAAAGAAAAAAGAAAGAAAACAAAAGGAAAAUGGAAGUCGUGUUCUCUCAAAAUAGCUUGUGAAGCAAUGAUCACCAAGUGAUUUAGACUCUGGUGUGUGGGCUAAUACAGAUCUGUUUCGGUGGGAACAUAGUAGGGCUUUUAGUUAUGUAUUUAGACUAAACCAAAGCAAAUCGAUGUGCCAAGGAAUGCAGAAAUUUCUCGGCCAUGUUCAAGUCACAGAAUCCAUAAAGGUUAGUGUGAGAAGAAAAAGUAACUCAUUAUCUUAUCUUUCACCAAUGCUUCUCCAAAUGACCACAGCCUGCCCUUAAAUUAAGUGAAUGAAUAAUGAGAACAGAUGGAAUGAGAUGGGAGAGGUGGCUGACUUAGAAAUUUGACCUUGAAACUGUGGUUCAUAGCAAUGAACUUCCGACUUUUCCCAACCAAAUUCUUAAAUGUAUAAACAUGGCGUAAACUAUAAAGGAAAAGUCCACAAAUGGGUG
rnacentral:lncRNA from 1 species